rnacentral:tRNA from 1 species
CAAAGAUUAGUUUAGUUUAGAAUCCUAGCUUUGGGAGCUAGGGGUGGGAGUUAAAAUCUCCUUUCUUUGA